rnacentral:lncRNA from 10 species
UAAAAGUUCUGGAGAUGGAUGGUGGUGAUGGGUGGUGAUGAUGGACAUUGGAGAUGGGCAAUGGACAUGGAUGGUGGUGAUGGAUGGUAUAAAUGGAUAUUGGAUGUGGACAGCGGACGUGGACAGUGGAGAUAGAGGGUGGUGAUGGCUGGUGGACAUGGACAGUGAAGAUAGAGAGUAGUGAUGGAUGGUGGAGAUAGAGGGCGGUGAUGGACAGUGGAGAUAGAGGGUGGUGAUGGACAGUGGAGAUAGAGGGUGGUGAUGGACAGUGGACAUGGACAGUGGAGAUAGAGGGUGGUGAUGGACAGUGGAGAUAGAGGGUGGUGAUGGACAGUGGACAUGGAUAGUGGAGACAGAGGGUAGUGAUGGACAGUGGAGAUAGAGGGUGGUGAUGGACAGUGGACAUGGACAGUGGAGAUAAAGGGUGGUGAUGGACAGUGGAGAUAGAGGGUGGUGAUGGACAGUGGAGAUAGAGGGUGGUGAUGGACAGUGGAGAUAGAGGGUGGUGAUGAACAGUGGAGAUAGAGGGUAGUGAUGGACAGUGGACAUGGACAGUGGAGAUAGAGGGUGGUGAUGGAUGGUGGACAUGGACAGUGGAGAUAGAGGGUGGUGAUAGACGGUGGACAUGGACAGUGGACAUGGACGGUGGGGACAGAGGGUGGUGAUGGACGGUGGACACAGACGGUGGAGAUAGAGGGUGGUGAUGGACGGUGGACACGGACAGUGGAGAUAGAGGGUGGUGAUGGACAGUGGAGAUAGAGGGUGGUGAUGGUCAGUGGAGAUAGAGGGUGGUGAUGGACGGUGGAGAUAGAGGGUGGUGAUGGACAGUGGACAUGGACAGUGGAGACAGAGGGGGUGAUGGACAAUGGACAUGGACAGUGGAGAUACAGGGUGGUGAUGGACGGUGGACAUGGACAGUGGAGACCGGGGGUGAUGAACAGUGGACAUGGACAGUGGAGACAGAGGGUGGUGAUGGACCCUGGAGAUAGAGGGUGGUGAUGGACAGUGGAGAUAGAGGGUGGUGAUGGGCGGUGGACAUGGACAGUGGAGAUAGAGGGUGGUGAUGGACAGUGGACAUGGACAGUGGAGAUAGAGGGUAGUGAUAGACGGUGGACAUGGAUAGUGGAGAUAGAGGGUGGUGAUGGACGGUGGACAUGGACAGUGGAGAUAGAGGGUGGUGAUGGACGGUGGACAUGGACAGUGGAGAUAGAGGGUGGUGAUGGAUGGUGGACAUGGACAGUGGAGACAGAGGGUGGUGAUGGACGGUGGAGAUAGAGGGUAGUGAUGGACGGUGGACAUGGACAGUGGAGACGGAGGGUAGUGAUGGAUGGUGGACAUGGACAGUGGAGACAGAGGGUAGUGACGGACGGUGGACAUGGACAGUGGAGACAGAGGGUAGUGAUGGAUGGUGGACAUGGGCAGUGGAGAUAGAAGGUGGUGAUGGACAGUGGACAUGGACGCUGGAGAUAGAGGGUGGUGAUGGACAGUGGAGAUAGAGGGUGGUGAUGGAUGGUGGACAUGGACAGUGGAGAUAGAGGGUGGUGAUGGAUGGUGGACAUGGAUAGUGGAGUUGAAGGGUGGAGAUGGAGGGUGGUGAUGGAU